rnacentral:rRNA from 1 species
UACGUAGGGCGCAAGCGUUGUCCGGAAUUAUUGGGCGUAAAGAGCUCGUAGGCGGCCUGUUACGUCUGCUGUGAAAUCCCGGGGCUUAACCCCGGGCGUGCAGUGGAUACGGGCAGGCUGGAGGCAGGCAGGGGAGAACGGAAUUCCCGGUGUAGCGGUGAAAUGCGCAGAUAUCGGGAGGAACACCGGUGGCGAAGGCGGUUCUCUGGGCCUGUACUGACGCUGAGGAGCGAAAGCGUGGGGAGCGAACAG